rnacentral:rRNA from 1 species
UACGUAGGGGGCAAGCGUUAUCCGGAUUUACUGGGUGUAAAGGGAGCGUAGACGGCGGCGCAAGUCUGAUGUGAAAGCCUGGGGCUCAACCCCGGAACUGCAUUGGAAACUGUGCUGCUGGAGUGCCGGAGAGGUAAGCGGAAUUCCUAGUGUAGCGGUGAAAUGCGUAGAUAUUAGGAGGAACACCAGUGGCGAAGGCGGCUUACUGGACGGUAACUGACGUUGAGGCUCGAAAGCGUGGGGAGCAAACAGG